rnacentral:lncRNA from 1 species
CUCUCAGUAUGCUCUUAUCCAAGACCUAUAGGAGUCUCGUAAUAUAUAGAAGUUUUUAGACUUGCUAACAUACUAAAGAUUGAUUGUAAUCCAACCUCUUAUAAUCAACAACUACAAAAUAGCAAAAGUAAUAUACUAAUAAUGUCCAAUAAAAUGCGAUCUAAGGAGAUUCAUUCUUCAAGGUAAUCUUCAAUGCAGUCCUGAACAAUUCUCCAUAAUCAAAUGAUUGUAUAUGUUCAAUCUGAUCCAACCCGAUCUUCACAAAGUAACGGAUUGGUUUCCAAAGUUGGGCUUCCAUAUCUCCAAAAUAUCAAUAUGGUUACUAGCCCAAAUAUUUUGUCGCGGGGAUGAUGAUAAUGGCCACUACUGAAUGCCACUUGAAAUGUUAAUCCACAACUUGCCUCAACACGUUCCUUGUGAUUGCCUCACAAAUUCCAUGCCCAAAUCUUUCCAUUCCAAUGAUAAACAAAUAAAGGACAACAAAUCUUCUUGCCUAAUCCCACAAGAAGGUUGGAGCCCCAUUCCACAAUAUUUGCAUUGAAGAGCUUGAGAUGCAAUGCAUAAUCACAUGAGUUAAAUGAUUCGGUAGGCCUGCAUCAACUAAGGAGUCAUGCUUGAAUUCUCAACGGAUGCGAUCAUAUGGGUUUAUAUCAACUUUGAACGCCAUCCGACCUUUCUGCCUUUUUCGGUUCUGCAUAGAGUACACAAUCUCCUUCGCAAUGAGUACAUUGUUAAUUAUAUUACUGUCCACCACAAAGCAAGCUUAAUUAGGUGCAAUGAGAGUUGGCAGUAUCCGCUUCAUCUGUCCACGAUCACAUUAGUUAGAAUUUUAUAGGUUCAAAUAUAUUUUUCUGGUACAUGUAUUUUUGAAAUAUUAAUAAUUGCAUUUACUAUAUCUUUUUUGGUAUUUACAAAUUAAACGUACUAUAUUUUUACGAUUUCAAGAUUGCUAACUCCUAUUGAGAUUAAUCAAAACCCCACCUACAUUAUUAUGUAAAGGUAAUUAAUAAUAUUUUAAUAAUCCCCAUAAAAAAAAUUAAAAAGAAAAUGCCUUGCCAUCUUUGUAUGUUGAUGGGGUUAAGUGGCCAACAAAAUACACGAGUUAGAAAAGCCAUUUUGGGCAAUGGUGGGAUAAUGGCUGCCAUUGCCAAUCAGGACGAUCGAUGCCAAUGCCAUGAUCAGCAAAGCACCAAUCCUUGUCUACAUGUCCACUUGUGUUCUCCAAUUCUUCUUAGUAUAGGUGAGCCUUGUCAUAUUCAUAACCCUAUUUUAUAUAAGGCUCCUUUGGCAACUUUUUAAAUAACAGAAAAGAAAAGAAACACACACAUGCUUCACGACAAAUCUUUUUUGUUUUUAAAAAUGAAAAUGAAAGGAAAAAUUAAAAUUAAAAUGUAGGAAGCAAAAUUUUCUUAUUUACAUUUUUUCCGGAAACAUGCUUUUGUUAGUUUCCAUCACUAUUACUCAUAAGUGAAUAAUAUUGACAAAAAAAGGUAUAAAUUUAAUAAUAUUAUAUAUUCAAUCAUCAUAUUUCGUUUAAUGCAUGCAUUAUUUGUAUAAUAUUCAAUCAAAAUUAUGUAUUAAUUUUAUAUAUCAGUAAACAUGAUUAAACAUUAUUAUUAGAAGAGGUUGGAGUGUGGGACUGUGGGGGCAAAGAUGCAGAAUGGGGGAAGGUCUACAUGUUGGGUUUGUGAGAAUUAAGGGUGACUGAAAGUGGAUUAAUGAUUAUAAAUUAAGAUUAAUUAAUGAUGAUAAAUACUGUAUUGCCUCAGACAAACCCUGUACCUGCUCUACUUAAACUAAUCCAAAUUAAUACAUUAUAAUUUUCAAAAUUAAUAAACAACAAAACAAAUAAAUCCCCUCUCUCCCUUUCUCCUAUACGUUCUUCGUCUUCCUUCCACUGUCACUAUCUUUUGUUCCAUUCCUUUUUCGAAUAUAUGCUUCCGACCAUUUCAUGUCCUCUCUUGGCAUUAUGUUAGUUAAACUUUGAAUUAUUUAUAUAAAAAAAAUAUGUGGAUAUAUUAGUAUAGAUAGAUCAAAAUUUCUAAAUUACCAUGCAUGUAGAUAUGAGAUACUUUGACAUCAAUCAAAAGGUAAUUAAUGCAGCAUGAUAAUUUUAGGGUUCUCAACUCAUCUAAUCAUAUAGGAAAAUUUUAAAGUCAACUUUCAGGUGGAUUAUAGCAAAGGGAGAGGGACCACUAUUAUUUUGAUCCUAUAUAUAGCUAUUAGGUACUAGAUUGUAAUCAUAUCUAGAGCAGCACUACUAUACCAUAUAUCAGGUCACCAAAACGAGAUAAUUUCUUUCUAAGAAUUUCAUUUCCAUGAUUGUUUAUAGCGGGUAGAUGAAUGGAUGGGUGUGACUAUUUAAUCUCCAAUCAAUUUGGCAAUAUGUACUUAUACCUAUGUAUGCGCCAUUAUCGAUCAUUGGCUUCAGCUACCUGAUCAUCAACUACCUCUGACUGAAGCAGCAACUUCUUCUCAUUAUUUGCAUAUUUAAAUAAUAAUAUUGAGCCACACAUGCUGCU